rnacentral:rRNA from 1 species
GUCCUACGGGGGGCAGCAGUGAGGAAUAUUGGUCAAUGGGCGGGAGCCUGAACCAGCCAAGUCGCGUGAAGGAAGAAGGUACUUAGUAUUGUAAACUUCUUUUGUCGGGGAACAAAGGCGGAGACGCGUCUCCGGAUGAGUGUACCCGAAGAAAAAGCAUCGGCUAACUCCGUGCCAGCAGCCGCGGUAAUACGGAGGAUGCGAGCGUUAUCCGGAUUUAUUGGGUUUAAAGGGUGCGCAGGCGGGAGAUCAAGUCAGCGGUAAAAAUGCGGAGCUCAACUCCGUCGAGCUGUUGAAACUGUCGU